GGGCCCGUAGCUCAGCUGGUUAGAGCGCGUGACUUUUAAUCAUGAGGUCCUGGGUUCGAGUCCCAGCGGGCUCACCA
rnacentral:tRNA from 5 species